UACAGAGGGUGCAAGCGUUAAUCGGAAUUACUGGGCGUAAAGCGCAUGUAGGUGGAAAAGCAAGUUUGAUGUGAAAGCCCUGGGCUCAACCUGGGAAUGGCGUUGAAGACUGUUUUUCUAGAGUUUGGCAGAGGGCCGUGGAAUUUCCGGUGUAGCGGUGAAAUGCGUAGAGAUCGGAAAGAACACCAGUGGCGAAGGCGGCGGCCUGGGCCAAAACUGACACUGAGGUGCGAAAGCGUGGGGAGCAAACAGG
rnacentral:rRNA from 1 species